UACGGAGGGGGCUAGCGUUGUCCGGAAUCAUUGGGCGUAAAGAGCGUGUAGGCGGCCCGGUAAGUCCGCUGUGAAAGUCGGGGGCUCAACCCUCGAAUGCCGGUGGAUACUGUCGGGCUAGAGUGCGGAAGAGGCGAGUGGAAUUCCUGGUGUAGCGGUGAAAUGCGCAGAUAUCAGGAGGAACACCGAUUGCGAAGGCAGCUCGCUGGGACGUAACUGACGCUGAGACGCGAAAGCGUGGGGAGCAAACAGG
rnacentral:rRNA from 1 species